GACGAACGCUGGCGGCGUGCUUAACACAUGCAAGUCGAACGAAGUGGCGAACGGGUGAGUAACGCGUAAUCAACCUGCCCUUCAGAGGGGGACAACAGUUGGAAACGACUGCUAAUACCGCAUACUGAAGGAGGGGAUUGCGUCUGAUUAGCUAGUUGGCGGGGUAACGGCCCACCAAGGCGAUGAUCAGUAGCCGUACAGGAAAAAGGAACGGCAACCUUGGGACUUGGACACAGCCAAGACUGUGACGGGAGGCAGCAGUGGGGAUUCUGCCGCAAUGGACGAAAGUCUGACGGAGCAGCGCGGCGGGAGUGAUGACGGCAUUCGGGUUGUAAAGCUGUGUUAAUCGGGACGCGGUACCGGAAUAGAAGGCCACGGCUAACUACGUGCCAGCAGCCGCGGUAAUAC
rnacentral:rRNA from 1 species